rnacentral:rRNA from 1 species
AAUGGGCGAAAGCCUGACGCAGCAACGCCGCGUGCGGGAUGAAGGCCUUCGGGUUGUAAACCGCUUUCAGCAGGGACGAAAAUGACGGUACCUGCAGAAGAAGCUCCGGCUAACUACGUGCCAGCAGCCGCGGUAAUACGUAGGGAGCAAGCGUUGUCCGGAUUUAUUGGGCGUAAAGAGCUCGUAGGCGGUUCCGUAAGUCGAGUGUGAAAAAUCUGGGCUCAACCCAGUGAAGCACUCGAUACUGCGGUGACUAGAGUACGGUAGAGGAGUGUGGAAUUUGUGGUGUAGCGGUGAAAUGCGCAGAUAUCACAAGGAACACCAACGGCGAAGGCAGCACUCUGGGCCGGUACUGACGCUGAGGAGCGAAAGCGUGGGGAGCAAA